rnacentral:lncRNA from 1 species
GCCGUCGUUUCGGUCGGAACACUAUGUAGUACGACGGUCUCCACCGUGAGACCCGGUCCAAACCCGAAUAAAACACCCCACUCCAGUCCCUCUCCUGUGGUAGGCUUCCCUUCUUUUAGAGAUUUCUUUCUCAUCUCGUCAAGGAUAAACAACACACAAGCACUCGACAUGUUUCCAUACUCGCUAAGAACAUGUCUGGUUGCCCUCAUUUUUUCAGGUUUUAGACUCAGUUUCGCUUCAACUUGAUCGAGAAUUGCUGGGCCACCAGGAUGAGCUAUCCAGAAAAUGGAGUUCCAAUCGUUAAUACCAAUUGGAGU